GAGGUUAUAGCUCAGCUGGAUAGAGCAUCAGGUUGCGGACCUGAAGGUCGCACGUUCGAAUCGUGUUAGCCUCA
rnacentral:tRNA from 1 species